UCAAACAAUCAUCAUGGUCAACAAUGAUGUCAUAUUAUCAAUACUGAAAAGAGAGGCAAGGAAUGGAGGUGGCCAUUCCUAACCCAACCUCAACCCAGUGUAAGGAUCCCUGUGCUCCUAAGGUCCCCCACAGGUUAGCCGGAAGGUUUUCAUAAGCUCCAGAGGCCGUGCCAGAAGUCACCCAGAGGCUGGAGGAGCGUAGACACAGGCCCCACUGAUGCCUGCUGGGUCAGCAAAGUGGCAGCCAGCCAGCCACUUCCUAUCUGUCUCUCUGGCCUCCAGCCAGCUGGCUGGCUCAGAGCAGCAGCUCCUAUGCAAAAUGUAAAAGAAAAAAAAAACAACCUUUUCUGUAUCAGGAAGUUAACAUCAGUCGGGGGAAGCUGCGCUCUCUCUGGUUCUGCCUAGCGGGAAGUCUGGUGUAGAAGAAGCAAUCACCAGGUAAGGGAAUCUUCACUCCCUUUUUGACAUGGUAGAGGAUGGCUUGGAGUGUGUUCAGAGCACAGGCUGGAACCACACUGUCUGGGUUCAAAUCUGGAUCCUCCACUUACAAUGUUAGGAAUGACUGGGGACAAGCUAUUUAACCUCUCUGUGACUGUGUCCUCAUUCGCAAAUGGAAAUAAUAGUAGGACUUAUAUGCUAGGUUACGGUGAAGGCUAAUUGAGUUGACACAUAGAAAGUAUACCUAUCAGUGUUUGAUAUAUACAAACUCCAACAGUGGGGAAUGGGUUAUAUAAACUCUACAUAGCCAUUAAAAUAUCCAUAGUAGCUUGGAUAUACAUCCAUGAUCUAUUAUAAGUGAAAUUGGUUUUUAAAAAUGGCACCGUAUAUAUACCAUUAAAAAAGAAAAUAAAUCCAGGACAGAAAUGAGGUCUCCACAGUUGAGAACGCUAACUUUUCUCAUACAGGACCAGAGCAGCCACACCAGGCAGCUCUCGAACACCUCGAACUCCAGCUCCAAGGGAUUCAUACUCCUGUGCUUUCAUGAGCACUUGCACACAUGUGUCCAUAGGCACACGGAGACCCAGUACAUCUUUAAAGCGAGAAAGAAACCCAUUGAAAUGAAAAUAAUAAAGUAUGUACUCUUAUUAUAUAGCAAAAAGAUAUUUCUGUUUUCCAAAUACCCUGUAGUUUGUAUAUAUUAUGUAGGUAAUUAAAAAAACAAUAAAAGUUAUUCAGAAAGUGUUCAAAUGCAGUAGAUGUACAGUAGAUCCAGGUGAAAUAAUCCUGCUUUAAAACCAUAUCAACGGGUUGGAGAUUUAGCUCAUCGGUAGAGUACUUGCCUAGCAAGCACAAGGCCCUGGGUUCAGUCCCCAGCUCCAAAAAACAAACAAACAAACAAACAAACAAAAACCAUAUCAACACGAUCCCCCAGGGGCCUGGAUCAUUAAGGGCACCCGUGAGGCUAAGCCAUGAUCCACAUCACGAGCUUUAAGGGAACUCCAAUACGACCACCAAAAAGAAAAAAAUCCAUAACAUUGAAUGUUCUUGUGAGUGUGUUGCAUUUCGGCCCCUGCUUUCCGUGGGAUAGUCAAAAACUCUACCUACAGAGUCAGACCUGAAUCUUACCUAAACAAUAGCUGACCCUAAUACGUCAAAUUGCCUGCCCACUGCAUAAAAGCAAUGGGCUGAGCAAGGCUGUGCGUGCAGAGGGAGUCACUGGAGUUUUGAGCACAGGCGGGACAGGACAGGGUGGGGUAGCAUUCCUCCAGCCACUGACUCAGAGGUUUCAAGGAGGAAAUGCAAGCCUGGGGGCUAGUGAAAUAAAGGAAGAAGAUAAGCAUCACAUCCCUGUGCUCAUUUGUGGAGAAUGUGAUUGGGGAAAGGAAGGCAAUUCUGCCCCUGAACCACCAGCCUUAGUAAGUCACUACUCACCCUUGCAAGACUAUUACAACCCAGGUACCCUCAAUCUGGAAAGAGCACCAAACCCCAACCCCUGGACACCAGGGAUGCUAAUUCACCUCAUCUGGAGCCAAAUUGUAAAUAAGUAAGACCCCACCCCAGGCAUCCAGCAUCAGGGCUUCAGAUAGAAGUGACUAGUGAUACAUGGAAGCCUGCGUGACCAGAGAACAGGCAUUAGGAUGAAUCCAGAAGACAUUGCCAACAUCCUCCCUUGGCUUGGCCUCCCUCGCUUCCUCUGAUGCCUGUCAUUUUAUGUCUCCCUUUCCUGCAAUUUAGGCCAUAGUGGGUCCUUUGAGAGACGACAUAAUCUUUUUCUUCUCUGCAUGAGUAGCUUGUAAUUCUCUCUCCCUGGAGGACCAUUACACCCCACAGAUGUGAGGAACUGAGGAAGAAAACUAAAUGCUAGAAAAUUAGGAAGAAAGCUAAACGAGAGAAACUGGUUUCGUUUCCUGCUUUCAGGUGUCAGGGCCAUAGGGCCCUACCCCGUACACUUUAUUGUUGUCUCAAACUGCAUAGGUGACUGUAUAAAAGAGGCCAUCAUGAUAAUCUCUCAAACACCUGAACUGACUGGAAUUGCUUCUUUCUUCCCAAAGAAUAAAGGUGUCUGGGGUGGCCUUUGCUCUACACGGGACAGCCCAAGGCUCAGGCAGGAGGUAGGUGGCUGUUCUACUUCCCCAUGAGAGGUGACAGUGAUGACAGCAUUCCGACAUUUCUAGGAAUGCCCAUCGGGAUCUGCUUCCAAGCCUCAGGCUUGCGAAGGUAGGGAUCGCACGUUUUCUAUCAGGAGAACGGAGGGUAUCUUUUAAGAAGGUAUUUCUUCUGAAAAAUCUUUGAUAGUCUUUGUUUGGAAAUGUGGUGGGGGAGGGGGAGGGGUGCUGUGAGGAUGUCAGAGUUAUUUCUCUUCACAAGCAUGUAGUUCAUGGGGCAGAGAGAACAAGGGGUCUACAGAUGCCAAAGGAGAGUGGUUGGUAACGCUCGGCACUAGUGGUAACAGCAGGCCUGUGAAGUGGGAAUCAUGUGACUGCCAAACAGCCCACACUGCUUUAUGUCACAUCGCUUUUCUUGUCCUCUGGUCCUUCCCAGACUGUGGUCUGUUCAAAGCAUACCCACCAGGACAGUGGGACCAAGGAGUCGGCCAGACUGGGAAGUGGUUUGGAAAAAAUGCUAAAUUCUAAGUUGCUCUCUUGAGCUGCAGGAAGGCGGGACCGAGGUCUAUACAAGUGUUCGCUAGUGUCUCCCUGAACAUGGAACCGGCUCUCUUAGCUUAUUACGCGCUACGGUUUGAAUGUGUCUCCCAGGGGUUGGGGAUUUAGCUCAGUGGUAGAGCGCUUGCCUAGCAAGCGCAAGGCCCUGGGUUCGGUCCCCAGCUCCAAAAAAAAGAAAAGAAAAAGUGUCUCCCAAACACUGGGUUGGGAAGUUGAGCCUCACAGUCAUGUGUUAAUGGUAUCUGAAUAGAGCAUACCUGAGAGUAAUUAGGAAUAGAUAUAUACAUUCAUUCUGUGACUUUAUAAGAAGAGGAAGAGAGACCUGAGCUAACACACGCGCUCUCUCAUCACGUGAUGCCUCCUGCCCUAUCAUGACAGAGCAAGAAGAUGGGGCACUUGUACUGCCCACCUUCAGAGCUGUGAAAUAGUAAGUGUCUAUUCUUUAUAAAUUUCUUAUACAUUUCACAUAUCUGAAUACCUUAGGGUAUUCAGGGAUGGUUACAGAAAAUUGAUGAAAACAUCCUGUGUGUGGAUGUCUUAAACUAGAGGCAUUAAUUUAGGAUUAAUGGCUCAGUCAGUAGUCAGCCCUCCCUCUGUUUCUUUUUAGAACGGGAAGCCAGAAGAAGGGAGAUCCUUUCCUGUGCUAGAGAAAAGGGAAGGGUGGUUCACGGAAAUCCUACCGUGUUGUCUUAAAUGUCUCUGUUUAUUAUUUAGGGGAUGGUACACGAAAGAAAAAUCUUCAUCCUGAUAACUUGAUUCUCCUCUGUGUCCAGGAUGUCACUUCUUCUGUGAGAUCACAGAAGAAUCUUUUCCCUUGAUGGGCCACUGUGUAAUUAAAUCACAUAUCUACUUUACACAAGUAAUGCAGUUUUGAGAAAGGGAGUUAUGUAUAAAUUAUCUUUCUAUGCUCAAACCACAGAGUAAGUGAGCCCCAUGGAUGCUGUGUUUUCCUUUGCUUUUCAGAUGCUUUGGGGGUUACACUCAUAGCUUUAGAUACUCUUUAAAUAGAAAAGGAAAGACAGGCCAACUUAAUUAACAGUCUGAGUGUCUCAGAAUUCAGCCAACCAUACACAUGCACUCCUGGUAGGACAGGGAUUGGGAAGUGGGAAGAUAGAAACCAAGAAAGGCUGGCCAAGGGGCAGGCUCUUUCUCAAAACAAGCAGCCUUUUCCUUCUGCCUUCGCAAUGGCUGGAGGCCCUGGAUCUGAAUGGAAAACCUAGCAAGCAGGAUUUUGCUAUCCCUGACAUACAGCGAGAGCCAGGGAAGCCUUACUCCUGCUGCGUUACUACUGACCCUCUCUGUUUCCUUCCUCGGAGAUCUUGCAGGAUACCUCUAAGAGAGGAAAACUAGAUCCCAGCAGAUACUCAUUUGGAACACUGGCAGGGAGAGGCUUAUCUUACCCCAAAGUAACCAGAAAACUCAGUACCUCAGAGAUCCUACUGAGCAUUUCCCCAAGCAGAGCACAGUGCCAGCAUUCUAACCACCAUUCCUCCCCAAAGCUCACAAAGUUCCCUAAGGCUGUGAGCUCAUAGCAGCCUCAGCGGAUGCUUGUGAACUUUAGGCCUAGUACACACAGGCCAUUCAAUCCCGUAACUCAUGACUACUGGCCAGUUCUGUACCAGACACUCCUCUAACCCCACUUAAUUUCUUGUUUUCAGCCUUUCUGUUUUCCAAACAAAGUGAUUACUAGUUUUCUACCCAUAGAACAAACCCCUCAGAUGAGUAAGUCUAGCUCUCUGUGUCGGAGACGUUGACUUGUGGGCCACCAAGGUUGUUUUUGGCUCCUGGUAGCACACUGUGGUGGCUAUAGAAGGCAGGGCUGUCACUCACCUCAUGGCCAGGAUGCAAAAGAAAAGAGAAAGAAACAGAGUCACAGAGUCCCACAGUUCAUCCAACAGCCCAUUCUCAAUGACCAAGGGAAGUCCCAGCAGACUUCACCUUAUGACACCAUCUCCCAAUAGGUCCACUGGGGACCAGACAUUUAAAAAAGAAAAAAAAAAAAGGAUAAUACGUUCAUUAAUCCUUUGAGCAUUUCCAACAAUGUAUCUUGACUGGGGAACAAACUUAACAUAGAGAACUAGGAGAAACACUUUUCCAAACUACAGCAGUGACUGCUCCGUCCCGUGAACCCUUUUUUUUCCCUUUACUAAAAAUAGGGUGGGUUUUUUUCAUGCAAUAUGUUUUGAUUAUGGUUCCCCUCCCUCUGCUCCUCCCAACUCCUCCCCACAUCCCCUCCCAUCCCACCCCCUUUCUGCCUCUCUUUAGAAAACAAGCAAGCACCUGAAAAUAAUAAUAAAAUAAGACAGCUACUUUUGGUUGUUAACCGUCUACAUCUGGAGCUAAGAGGGUAAACCUGUGAGUGAUUUUUUAAUUGAACCAUUUGAAGUGGGAAGACCCACUUUUAGUCCAUGUCUUUUAAGGUGGGAAGAUCCACUUUAAUCUGGGCUAUGUGAAGGACUCAGGAGACAGAAACUUGCCCUCCUUGCCUGCUUACCCUCGGUGUCCGGCAAGUGCAUUCCUUCACUGGCAUUAGAGCCCUUUUCUUUGGAAUUCUGGCAUAUCCUGGAGUACCUGAGACACACAACUUCAUGGACUGAACAACUACUAGAUCCUUGGAUCUUCCGUUGGUAGACAGUCACUGUCGGACUAGCACAGAGCUUCUCAACCUCUGGAUCACAACUCCUUUGGCAAACUCUAUCUGCAAAAAUGUUUACAUUAUGAUUCAUAACACUGGGAAGUUGCAGUUGUGAAGUAGCAAUGAGAAUAAUUAUAUGGCUGAUGGUCACUGCAACGUGAGGAACUAACUGUACUUAAAGGGUGGCAGCACUGGGACGGUUGAGAACCACUGAAUUAGCAGGACUGAAGCCAGUAAGCCAUUCUAAUAAAUCCUGUGUGUGUGUGUGUGUGUGUGUGUGUGUGUGUGUGUGUGUGUGUGUGUUCAUUAA